rnacentral:rRNA from 1 species
AUACGGAGGAUCCGAGCGUUAUCCGGAUUUAUUGGGUUUAAAGGGUGCGCAGGCGGCCAUUAAAGUCAGCGGUUAAAUCGUGGGGCUCAACCCCAUUCUGCCGUUGAUACUGGGUGGCUUGAUUGCGGUCGAGGUUGGCGGAAUUCGUUGUGUAGCGGUGAAAUGCAUAGAUAUGACGAAGAACACCGAUUGCGUAGGCAGCUGACCAGACCGCAAAUGACGCUCAUGCACGAAAGUGCGGGGAUCGAACAGGAUUAGAUACCCUGGUAGUCCGCACAGUAAACGAUGAAUACUUGUUUUCGGCGAUAUAAUGUCGGAGGCAAAGCGAAAGCGAUAAGUAUUCCACCUGGGGAGUACGCCGGCAACGGUGAAACUCAAAGGAAUUGACGGGG